rnacentral:rRNA from 1 species
UACGGGGGGGGCAAGCGUUGUUCGGAAUUACUGGGCGUAAAGGGCUCGUAGGCGGCCAACUAAGUCAGACGUGAAAUCCCUCGGCUUAACCGGGGAACUGCGUCUGAUACUGGAUGGCUUGAGUUUGGGAGAGGGAUGCGGAAUUCCAGGUGUAGCGGUGAAAUGCGUAGAUAUCUGGAGGAACACCGGUGGCGAAGGCGGCGUUCUGGACUGCAACUGACACUGAGAGACGAAAGCCAGGGGAGCAAACGGG